AUGGCGCCCGAGCUCACCACGGUGACCCCAUCCCUCCGCUUCUUCCUCUCAUCGGGCCAGAUCGGGCACGCGUGUCCUCAAGUGGCCAAGCGCGACCCCCGAUUCAGCCGAGGCCGCCGCCCGCGCCCGCGCGCCACCACCCGCUCCUCCUCGCCUCUAUUCCUCCGCCCGCCGACCCACCCCAUCCCUGAUACCUCACUCGGCGCCUUCCGCCGCAGGGCCGUCGCGCUCGCAACACCCUCGGCGCCGCACCUCCACCGCUACCUCCGCUGGCUCCUCGCCGACGCCCCCGCCUCGUGCACGAGCGGCCAGAGCACGCCGUCCACCCCGCGCACGCGGCGCUCGACGCGCUCGACGUCUUCGAUACAGUGCAGGACAUCAAGGACCUGGAGCACCCCUACUCGCUGGAGCAGAUACGGUAUGUGCUCUCCCAGUAGUCCGUCUCCGUCUCCCAGUCUCCCAGUAGUCCGUCUCUGUCUCCCAGUAGUCCGUCUCCGUCUCCAUAUCUGGUACGUAUACCUGCAAGAUUGUGCUGCUCAAGGUUUUCUAGUGAUUAUUCUCAUCCUAUAUUAUUCUUAUUGCAAGCCCGAGGUGUCUCCUCAUCAUCUACAACAAAGGAUCCCCAUUGCCCGCCACCAGCCUGUAGCAGAGGAUCCCCACUCUGUUGGGCACAACACGAACACCCAAAACAGAUCAUCAGCAUACACAACCAGUGGAACUGCUACAAAGCACCAGAAGAAGGCGAAGCAAAGAGGGAAAGAUCACAGCAGCUCUUCUUGGUGA
rnacentral:rRNA from 1 species